GAUGAACGCUGGCGGCGUGCCUAAUACAUGCAAGUCGAGCGAACGGCGAGAAGCUUGCUUUUCUGAUGUUAGCGGCGGACGGGUGAGUAACACGUGGAUAACCUACCUAUAAGACUGGGAUAACUUCGGGAAACCGGAGCUAAUACCGGAUAAUAUUUUGAACCGCAUGGUUCAAAAGUGAAAGACGGUCUUGCUGUCACUUAUAGAUGGAUCCGCGCUGCAUUAGCUAGUUGGUAAGGUAACGGCUUACCAAGGCAACGAUGCAUAGCCGACCUGAGAGGGUGAUCGGCCACACUGGAACUGAGACACGGUCCAGACUCCUACGGGAGGCAGCAGUAGGGAAUCUUCCGCAAAGGGCGAAAGCCUGACGGAGCAACGCCGCGUGAGUGAUGAAGGUCUUCGGAUCGUAAAACUCUGUUAUUAGGGAAGAACAUAUGUGUAAGUAACUGUGCACAUCUUGACGGUACCUAAUCAGAAAGCCACGGCUAACUACGUG
rnacentral:rRNA from 1 species